AGGCAGCAGUAAGGAAUAUUGGUCAAUGGACGCAAGUCUGAACCAGCCAUGCCGCGUGAAGGAUGAAGGCCCUCUGGGUUGUAAACUUCUUUUAUCUGGGACGAAAAACGGGCUUUCUAGCUCACUUGACGGUACCAGAGGAAUAAGCACCGGCUAACUCCGUGCCAGCAGCCGCGGUAAUACGGAGGGUGCAAGCGUUAUCCGGAUUUACUGGGUUUAAAGGGUGCGUAGGUGGGUAAGUAAGUCAGUGGUGAAAUCUCCGAGCUUAACUCGGAAACUGCCAUUGAUACUAUUUAUCUUGAAUUAUCUGGAGGUAAGCGGAAUAUGUCAUGUAGCGGUGAAAUGCUUAGAUAUGACAUAGAACACCGAUUGCGAAGGCAGCUUACUACGGAUAUAUUGACACUGAGGCACGAAAGCGUGGGGAUCAAACAGGAUUAGAUACCCUGGUAG
rnacentral:rRNA from 1 species